AUGCUAGAGACCAGGAUGGAGCCCUGGGGACCCAGAUGGUGCCCUGUGCACCUGCUAGAGGCCUGGAUGGAUCUUUGGGGGAACCAGAUGGAGCCCUCGAGACCCGGAUGGAGCCCCUGGGGGCCCCGUGCCCCUUCUGGGGACCCGGAUGGAGCACCUGGGGGCCCCGUGCAUCUGCUGGAGGCCUGGCUGGAGCCCCUGGGGGCCCAGUGUACCUUCUGGGGACCCGGAUGGAGUCCCUGUGGGCCCCGUGCAUCUGCUGGAGGCCCGGAUGGAGCCCCUGGGGGCCCCGUGCCCCUUCUGGGGACCCGGAUGCAGCCCCUGGGGACCCCGUGCAUCUGCUGGGGACCUGGAUGGAGCCCCUGGGGGCCCCGUGCACCUUCUGGGGACCCGGAUGGAGCCCCUGGGGGCCCCGUGCAUCUGCUGGAGGCUGGGAUAGAGCCCCUGGGGGCCCCGUGCACCUGCUGGAGGCCUGGAUGGAACACCUGGGGGCCCCGUGCACCUUCUGGGGACCCGGAUGGAGCCCCGGGGGCCCCGUGCAUCUGCUGGAGGCCUGGAUGGAGCCCCUGGGAGCUCCGUGCACCUGCUGGAGGCCUGAAUGGAGCCACUGGGGACCCCGUGCACCUUCUGGGGACCCGGAUGGAGCCCCUGGGGGCCCCGUGCAUCUGCUGGAGGCCUGGAUGGAGCCCCUGGGGGCCCCGUGCAUCUGCUGGAGGCCAGGAUGGAGCCCCUGGGGGCCCCGUGCACCUUCUAUGGACCCGGAUGGAGCCCCUGGGGGCCUCCUGCACCUUCUGGGGACCCGGAUGGAGCCCCUGGGGGCCCCGUGCACCUUCUAGUGACCCGGAUGGAGCCCCUGGGGGCCCCGUGCCCCUUCUGGGGACCCGGAUGGAGCCCCUGGGGGCCCCGUGCACCUGCUGCAGGCCUGGAUGGAGCCCCUGGGGGCCCCAUGCACCUGCUAGAGACCCUAAUGGAGCCCCUGGGGUCCCUGUGCACCUUCUAGGGACCUGGAUAGAGCCCCUGGGGGCCCCGUGCAUCUGCUGGAGACCUGGAUGGAGCCCCUGGGGGCCCUGUGCAUCUGCUGGAGGCCUGGAUGGAGUCCCUGGGAGCCCAGUGCACCUUCUGGGGACCCGGAUGGAGCCCCUGGGGGCCCCGUGCACCUGCUAG
ensembl:lncRNA